UCAGUGGAAUCAGGUUUCGAACCUGAAAUCCUCCGAGUCGGAGGUCGAUAUCUUACCACUAGACCACCACGG